UGGAGGCAGUCAUCUUGGCACCUCAGGAUACAGCAGAAGAAUCAACAAUAGUCUCAUUGGCAGGAGCAGAGAGGAUAAACCACUGUUCUACUCUUUGAUACCUCAUUCCCUAACAAAGAAGCAGCAGGUUGUGGUUUCUGAGAGCCCAGGCUACGUAGAUGGGAAUGGAAGAAUGAGAAGGUCAGGGGGAGCCAGGGCCAAGGUGGGGACUGUGUCCAGCAUAUGAAGUGCUCUUCUCUGCAGCCAUCCCUACUGCAAGGAGGAGUCUGACUGACUUCAGUAAUCAGCCUUCAAAUGGUGUGUGUUGUACAUAGACAGGAAAGUCUUUGUGGAAGCCGUUACUCAGACUGCACAGGGGGCAUGCUGCUUGGAGAUUCAGUGGUGAUCUUGCUGCUGGGACUCUGGAAGCUGGAGCACGUGUUGGAAGUAGAAGAAGACACAGGCCUGGAGAGACCUCUACGGAACGGGUAGCACUGAGUGCAGUGACGCGGUAGCUUGAGGUUCUGGAGGAAACAGCCCCAGCUCCACUCUCCUGCACCCCCUCUCCCAGGGUGACUAUAUCGUCUUGUGCCCUGGAGUCUGUCCACAUGUGCAGGAGAUACAUGUCACAUCUUCUCUGAGCUCUGCACAGCUUCUCACAGAUCUACCUCAAAAUGUCCUGGAGACACACAACUGAAGUGCCAAAGGAAACCUUCUGAACCAUCUUCCUCCAUUACUUGCUAUCCAUUUCACAUGAAAUGGUGUUGGAGUGCCUAUCUUGGCUGCUCAGAGAAACAGGUGUUACAGUGAACACCUGCAUUUUAAGAAGCAUCUACAAGGAUGAUGGAAUAUUAUUUCCUAAAAGAUCCAUAAAGCCAUCUGCUGUGGAGAAGACCCAUGAAAGAACCUGCAGUGCGAUGGAGCUGUGCCUGUUGUGACUCCAAGAAGAUUCACACGAGGACCUAGAGGAUAAAAUGAGAUGGGACCUGCAUAUCUCCUUUUGGUGCCUUUCCUCUUACAGAAGGACCUUGUCUAUAGAGAGGGAUGGUGACACUCAGGCGUGGACCCACUGCAGUCAGGCAGCAAGUAUAUUGUAUUAGUUUUACCUAUGUUGCUGUGAUAAACUACCCUGACAGAAGCAAUUUAGAGGUGAAAGAGUAAAUUUCGUCUACAGCUCCAGAAGGGAUACAGCCAUCAAGGUAGAGAAGACACAAUGGCAGGAACAUAAAACCACCCAUCACAUUGUACCUGCAACCCAGAGCAGAGAGUGAGAAGGAUGUGGGGCAGGCCUGUAAAACCCAAACGCCCACCCCAGUGACAUCCUGUCUCCCUCAACAGAUGGCAAUGGUACCACAAGGCUAGUUCAGGAAAGAGUAGCCAAGUCCCCAGGGCAUGUGGUGUUGAUAGAAGAUAGUUCAGCCAUCCC
rnacentral:lncRNA from 1 species